CCUUAACCUGCUAAAUAGACUGGUGAGCUUUAGGGCUUGCCUUUGGGUCUUCUUAGAGGGACUAGCUAGGUAUUACUAGCUGGAAGUUUGAGGCAAUAACAGGUCUGUGAUGCCCUUAGAUGUUCUGGGCCGCACGCGCGCUACACUGGCAGAGGCAGCGAGUAUGUAACCUUGCCCGAAAGGGCUGGGUAAUCUUGUGAAACUCUGCCGUGAUGGGGAUAAACCAUUGUAAUUAUUGGUUUUUAACGAGGAAUUCCUAGUAAGCGCAAGUCAUCAGCUUGCGUUGAUUACGUCCCUGCCCUUUGUACACACCGCCCGUCGCUACUACCGAUUGAAUGGCUCAGUGAGGCCUUCGGAUUUGGAUGUUAUGUAAUGUAAUGUUUGGAGAAGUUGUACAAACUUGGUCAUUUAGAGGAAGUAAAAGUCG
rnacentral:rRNA from 1 species